GGCCCCGUAGCUCAGUGGCUAGAGCGUCCCUCUCCUAAAGGGAAAGUCGAGGGUUCAACCCCCUCCUGGGUCG